GAGGCGUGGCGCCGGCUCCUGGCCGGGGUCUGCGCGAACGGGGAGCCGCUGCCCACCCUGGCGGAGUCCCGCAGUGCCCGCGCCCUCGGGGACCCCGCGCGGCCGCCUUUCGAGGAGACGCGCCCAGGCAGCGCCCGCUUCGGACUGCAGCCGCGGGAUCUCGGCCGGAGCGGCCGAGGCGCUUGUGGUUCCACCCCCCCCCUCCCUGCACCUGCCGGGGGCUGAAGAUGCCGCGGGAGAAUUGGGCGGCCCCUUCGUUCCGGUCAGGCGGACGCGCGCUUGGGUCGAAACCAGCGGCCUGGCGAGAUCCGCGCCCACAGCCCGAGCGGGGAAGAGCCGCCGGUGGAGAGCAGCCCGGGCGCGGGGCUUCAGCUCCCAUUUCCAAACACAAGGGCUGGACACGCGAAUCGGACCGGCGGCGCCUCAGGUUCAGGCCUGGCAGCAGCUCUCCCCGUCUCAAGCGGAGGCUUUUCACACCGCCUGUCGCCUGGACCUUUUAACGGAGGGUGCCGGGGAUUGAACGUGAGACCUUCUGCAUGCCAAGCAAACGCUCCUCCACUGAGCCAUGGCAAUCCGGGAGACCCAGGUUUUGGAUCCCCGGUCUGCCGUGGAAGCUCGCUGGGUGACCUUGGGCUAGCGACAAACUGUCAGCCCAACCUACCUCACAGGGCUGUUGUGAGGAUGAAAUGGAGGAGAGGGGAACGAGAUAAGCUGUUCUGGGUCCCCAUUGGAGAGAAAAUAAGGGUAUGAGUGAGAAAUGGUCAGAUUUCUGCAAGCAUCAAGACUAUAUCUCAAAGGAUAAUAGAGAAGUCGGGUGAGGGGGAGAUCCUAUGGCUCAGUGGAAAUCCCAGGUUCGAUUCCAGAGAGGACCUUUCUUUGCAUGAAAACCUGGAGAGCUGCUGCCAGUUGUAGACAGUGUUGAGCUGGCUGGACCCUGAGUCUGUUUUGAUAGAAGACUGUCUCAUAUGUUGAAACUAUAAAGGUCUUUCUGUUUG